AUUGAGGUAUCUGUUAAGUCAGAUUCAAUAGGGAACACGGGUGAGAUUCCCGGACAGUCCCGCUGCUGUAUUUCUCAGAUCCCGGUUCAGGAUGAGCCGUCGCUCCCAUGACGGCAACAAACGCCACUGGCAUUAUGCCGGGAAGGUUCCUGAAUCAAUGAGAUAAGUCAGAAGACCUGCCUCAAGUUC
rnacentral:ncRNA from 1 species